rfam:Myotis davidii contig31404, whole genome shotgun sequence.
GGUGGUUCUCAGGUGACACAAACCGGAAUCGGGCUCUCUCCUCUCUGGUUCCGGGGUGUGUCACCCAAGAACCGCU